GUGGGGAAUAUUGGACAAUGGGCGAAAGCCUGAUCCAGCCAUGCCGCGUGUGUGAAGAAGGUCUUCGGAUUGUAAAGCACUUUAAGUUGGGAGGAAGGGUAGUAACCUAAUACGUUGCUACUUUGACGUUACCGACAGAAUAAGCACCGGCUAACUUCGUGCCAGCAGCCGCGGUAAUACGAAGGGUGCAAGCGUUAAUCGGAAUUACUGGGCGUAAAGCGCGCGUAGGUGGUUCAGUAAGUUGGAAGUGAAAUCCCCGGGCUCAACCUGGGAACUGCUUUCAAAACUGCGGGGCUAGAGUACGGUAGAGGGUGGUGGAAUUUCCUGUGUAGCGGUGAAAUGCGUAGUUAUAGGAAGGAACACCAGUGGCGAAGGCGACCACCUGGACUGAUACUGACACUGGGGUGCGAAAGCGUGGGGAGCAAACAGGAUUAGAAACCCGUGUAGUCC
rnacentral:rRNA from 1 species